UGUGACAGUAAUGCUGCUCGGGUAGCCACCGUGUGACCCGGAUCAUCUUGAUGGACAGAGCAGAAGACCUACCACGUCCACCAUGGUCCACGGAAAUUUGGGCACUAACUCAGUCUGAGAAAGCAGCCCUGAAUCCUCCUUUAGAGUCAUGUGAACGGCAGGCAGAGUGGGACAGGCAGAAACGCGAGUAUACCAGGCGUUGGAAUGACGCCGUGUUCGACGCAUCAUGUGAACGGCAGGCAGAGUGGGAGAGACAGAGACACGCCGAUGAUGUCAGGCGUUGGCAUGCCGCCUGGUUUGAGAGACAGAGACUCUAUGAUAUGAGGCGGAGGGACGUCAUGUAC